CAGAGUCAUUAUGGGUUAACGCCCUAAUACUCCACCCUUUGUUUACAUUACCUUUGUUGCUUUGGCAGGCCCGCUUUGGCCGCCGGCUCUCAGCUGGUCAGUGCCUGCCAGAGGAUCUAAAACUCUUGUUUAAUCAUAUUGUCUGAGUACUAUAUAAUAGUUA
rnacentral:misc_RNA from 1 species